rnacentral:rRNA from 1 species
GAUGAACGCUGGCGGCGUGCCUAAUACAUGCAAGUCGAGCGAACAGACGAGGAGCUUGCUGCUCUGACGUUAGCGGCGGACGGGUGAGUAACACGUGGAUAACCUACCUAUAAGACUGGGAUAACUUCGGGAAACCGGAGCUAAUACCGGAUAAUAUAUUGAACCGCAUGGUUCAAUAGUGAAAGACGGUUUUGCUGUCACUUAUAGAUAGAUCCGCGCCGCAUUAGCUAGUUGGUAAGGUAACGGCUUACCAAGGCAACGAUGCGUAGCCGACCUGAGAGGGUGAUCGGCCACACUGGAACUGAGACACGGUCCAGACUCCUACGGGAGGCAGCAGUAGGGAAUCUUCCGCAAUGGGCGAAAGCCUGACGGAGCAACGCCGCGUGAGUGAUGAAGGUCUUCGGAUCGUAAAACUCUGUUAUUAGGGAAGAACAAAUGUGUAAGUAACUAUGCACGUCUUGACGGUACCUAAUCAGAAAGCCACGGCUAACUACGUG